CGAACACGACCGUUAAGCCCUCCAGCGCCGAUGGUACUUGGACCGAAGGGUCCUGGGAGAGUAGGACGCCGCCAAGC
rnacentral:rRNA from 1 species